CGCCUCUUGCAAAAUUAACAAAUAAGAGGUCCCGCCUGCCCUGUGACCAGAGUGUUUAACGGCCGCGGUAUCCUAACCGUGCGAAGGUAGCGCAAUCACUUGCUCUUUAAAUGGGGGCCCGUAUGAAUGGCUUAACGAGGGCUUAACUGUCUCCUUUUUCUGGUCAGUGAAUUUGAUCUCCCCGUGCAGAAGCGGGGAUAACACCAUAAGACGAGAAGACCCUAUGGAGCUUUAGACACCAAGGCAGACCACAUUUAAGCUACACAUAUUGAGGAUUUGUUGGGCCAUUUGGCUACUGCCCUAAUGUCUUCGGUUGGGGUGACCACAAGGGAAAACAAAGCCCCUGUGCGGAACGAGGAUACUAUUCCUCCAAACCGAGAGUUUCCACUCUAAGAAUCAGAACUUUUGACCUAACUGAUCCGGCAACGCCGAUCAACGGACCAAGUUACCCUAGGGAUAACAGCGCAAUCCUCUUUUAGAGCUCAUAUCGACAAGAGGGUUUACGACCUCGAUGUUGGAUCAGGACAUCCUAAUGGCGCAGCCGCUAUUAAGGGUUCGUUUGUUCAACGAUUAAAGUCCU
rnacentral:rRNA from 1 species